rnacentral:rRNA from 1 species
UACGUAGGGGGGCUAGCGUUGUCCGGAAUCAUUGGGCGUAAAGCGCGUGUAGGCGGUUCGGUAAGUCCGCUGUGAAAGUCGGGGGCUCAACCCUCGAAUGCCGGUGGAUACUGUCGGACUAGAGUACGGAAGAGGCGAGUGGAAUUCCUGGUGUAGCGGUGAAAUGCGCAGAUAUUCAGGAGGAACACCAAUUGCGAAGGCAGCUCGCUGGGACGUUACUGACGCUGAGACGCGAAAGCGUGGGGAGCAAACAGG